rnacentral:rRNA from 1 species
UACAGAGGGUGCAAGCGUUGUUCGGAAUUAUUGGGCGUAAAGGGCGCGUAGGCGGUUCGCUAAGUUGGAUGUGAAAACUCUGGGCUCAACCCAGAGCCUGCAUCCAAAACUGGCGGGCUAGAGUUCUGGAGGGGGUAGCGGAAUUCCUGGUGUAGCGGUGAAAUGCGUAGAUAUCAGGAGGAACACCGGUGGCGAAGGCGGCUACCUGGACAGAAACUGACGCUGAGGCGCGAAAGCUAGGGGAGCAAACAGG